CCUACGGGAGGCAGCAGUGGGGAAUAUUGCACAAUGGGGGCAACCCUGAUGCAGCAAUACCGCGUGUGUGAAGAAGGCCCGAGGGUUGUAAAGCACUUUCAAUAGUGAAGAAAAGCUCAUGGUUAAUACCCAUGGGUCUUGACGUUAACUAUACAAGAAGCACCGGCUAACUCCGUGCCAGCAGCCGCGGUAAUACGGAGGGUGCAAGCGUUAAUCGGAAUUACUGGGCGUAAAGCGUGCGUAGGCGGUUUACUAAGUCAGAUGUGAAAGCCCCGGGCUUAACCUGGGAACUGCAUUUGAUACUGGUAGGCUAGAGUAUGAUAGAGGGGGGUAGAAUUCCUGGUGUAGCGGUGAAAUGCGUAGAUAUCAGGAGGAAUACCAGUGGCGAAGGCGGCCCCCUGGAUCAAUACUGACGCUGAGGUACGAAAGCGUGGGUAGCGAACAGGAUUAGAUACCCUGGUAGUCCACGCCGUAAACGAUGAGAACUAGCCGUUGGGGUCUUGAGAUCUCAGUGGCGCAGCUAACGCGUGAAGUUCUCCGCCUGGGGACUACGGCCGCAAGGCUAAAACUCAAAUGAAUUGACGGA
rnacentral:rRNA from 1 species